GUGUUUUUGUUUUAAAGUAUGGUGUAUGGGAAUUUUAAUUAUUUUAUAAUGCAUGUUGCUAGCUGUGUAGUCACACCAACUAUUUACUUUCCAAUUCUUUGUUGAUUUCCAAUUUUAAUUAUUAUAUAAUGCAUGUUGCUAGCAAGUGAUGUUGCUGUUACUUUUUUUUUAUUGACUAUGGUUUGUAAUUUUCACAUAAGACGAAAAAAAGAAAGAGGCAUGUUCUUGUUGUUGACACUGGUGGAAGUGUUC
rnacentral:lncRNA from 1 species